rnacentral:rRNA from 1 species
UACGUAGGGUGCAAACAUUAUCCGGAUUUAUUGGGCGUAAAGAGCUCGUAGGCGGGCUGACAAGUUAGGUAUUAAAUACUUUGGCUCAACCAAAGAAAUGUACCUAAAACUAUCUGCCUUGAGAUAUGUAGGGGAGGAUGGAACUUACGGUGUAGCAGUGAAAUGCGUAGAUAUCGUAAGGAACGCCAAUGGUGAAGACAGUCCUCUGGACAUUAUCUGACGCUGAGGAGCGAAAGCGUGGGGAG